UACGAAGGUGGCAAGCGUUGUUCGGAUUUACUGGGCGUACAGGGAGCGUAGGCGGUUCGGUAAGCCCUCUGUGAAAAUCUCCAGGCUUAACCUGGAACAGUCGGAGGGGGACUGCUGGGCUAGAGGACGGGAGAGGAGCGCGGAAUUCCCGGUGUAGCGGUGAAAUGCGUAGAGAUGUGGAGGAACACCGAUGGCGAAGGCAGCCUCCUGGGCCAACACUGACGCUCAUGCACGAAAGCGUGGGGAGCAAACAGG
rnacentral:rRNA from 1 species